CCGAAAGAUGGAGGAGGUGGGGCGAUUCGCCGAAUUAAAAUUGUUAAAAACCUAAGGGGCGUCUAUAAUGGCGUUCAAAAAAGGGCCCCGUUCCAAACAGGAAAAGGUGUCUCCUUCGAGCCGGAUUCGAACCAGCGACCUAAGGAUUUCAGCUUGAUGCCACUACAGUCCUCCGCUCUACCAACUGAGCUAUCGAAGGGACGUUAGCGUGAAUGAGACACGUGUAAGUUUUGAAUCAGUCCUACUUCCCUGUAGUAUGUCGAUUUUAUUGUCAUUACUACACUUCCUUACAUCGUACACAGCUAAAACCUUAAUCCUGAAUCCGGGGUUUGCUAAUGUCUGUAAGCUAACGCUUGCUAGUUGGCUAACUACUGCUAUCUGUGUUUUACCCGGACAAAGUUAACGCUUAUUAACUUGAUAGCGACAAAUUUUACACAAGAACACAAGGGAAACAUUUAGUUGCUCUGUAUAAAACAAAAAAACGAUUUGCAAAACUUCCCUAGUCAUGUAAACGCUGGAGUAAGAGUAGACACAGUUAGCUUGUUAUAGUCCAUGUAGUUUCCACGGAAAACACGCACUGCACAAGGCAACACAGAUAGAGACAAAUGUUCCUCUACUGGCGAAUAUUAUAUGAAAUACAACUUGCUUACCUCGAACAGGGGGUUUAAAGCCAUUUCACUUUAUCUGUUGCUUCACUUUUGACGACAGAAGAAGGUGUUUUUACAAAGUUCCCUUGUCGAGUGAUCAAUACAGAUGAGUUAAAAGUUAUUCAAUGAUGCCCAGUCUGUCCUAUUGUUUUACGUCCUCCUUACAUUGUUUCCAUCGCUGCCACUCUCCACCUGUGCGGAAACUGCUCACCUGUGUGUCUCUGGAGAGGGGGAAAAUCUGUCCUCAAAUUUACCUGCGAGUCCCGGGUUACAAAAAAAAACAAGUCACAAGUGUGCAGAUCAUUGUGGUUAAAAUCUUUGCAAUCAAAGCCUGUCCACUAUCUUGAGUUUUAUAGUUAAAUUGUAAAGCGAGUAAUCAAUCAGAGGUUGGUUUUAAAAAGCAAGUGGGAAAUGUGAGUUUGUGCAAAAUAACAAACAUUCCCUCUGCAAAAGUUAUCUGAAACCCGAAAAAUUAUCUACUAUAUAUAUUAGGGGUGAUUUCUGCACAUUCAUAAGUAAUGUAUCCGCAAUUUCAGUAAUUCUCCACAAUUCAGCAAGUCUGGUUUCAACUUUAACCACUAGAUGUCAGUAUGUCUCUACUUAAAGAAAUGCAAAACGUCUCCGAAUCAUAGACUGUAUAUACUAUCUUAUAUACAGUCUAUGCUCUGAAUCAAUUUGUGUCAAAUUAUUAUUUUAACAUGGAAUCACGUGACAAACUGAACCAAACUCCAGAUAAAAAAUCCUCAUCCAAAAAAUCCAGACACAAGUGUUUGCCAAAAUUUGCAACAUGAUUUGGGAUUAAUUUAUCUUAUUCUUAUACAUACUUUGAUAAUACUUCUAUCAAUCAAUAUGAUCAACAAAGUAUUAAAAAAACAUCUUAACACAGUCUGAUAAAUGAUAACAAUGUCCUCUUGUGGUUUAUCAGUUUCCAAAAACAUCUGAUGUAUCAAACGAGAUAAAUAAAUAUAUUUGUUAAAUUUCAAGGGCAUUUUGACUUUUUUGGUUUUCUGUAUUGAGUCAAAUAAAAAUUUCAGCUCCAAAAAAAAUAAAAUUUUCUGGCCAUAACUCGUGGUUUCAGGCAUUAUAAAGUUAAAUUAUACUGUAUUAAUCAGGAUUGAAUAUAUACGCUUAGCUUGUCUUUUGAGGUUUUUGGUGGCUAAUGUAAAAAUAAAAGGGAUUUUUUUUACUAUUUGUUAUGUGUCAUUAAAUCUCUCAGGUUUGUAACACAAUUCUCUAAUGUUUUCUGUUACACUGACAACAUCAACCUGCUAGAAAUAUGAACCCUGAAAUAUGACUCUCUGAGUUUUUAGACAAAAACAAGCAGCAGCUUGUUCUCCUCUCGCCCGAAACCAGGGUUUCAGUGUCACCUGCAGAACUUACUCUAAGAUGAAGCCCAGUAAAUUAUAUUUUAAUUUUACAAGAAAGGGAAAGUAAAAUGUGGAAAUAUUGUUAUCAGAGAAAGGAGAACAUCAGCGCUUGUCUAAAUGUAAUAGUUUGUCUAUUCAGCUGUAUUUCAGAUCAACAAUUUACAAUAUUUACGCCAGCUAUUUUUUUUAACUUAAAUUUUUAGAUUAUUUUGUGCACAAAAUUCACAGUGGCAUUGUUUUAAUGGAACUUGAUGAGCACUGUCAAAGAUCAGCGUUAUGAGUGUAAUAAACAACCUAAAAUAAUCUCAAAUUUUAUUUGAUUUUUUAAAAUUUUGUGUACCCUGUUAGGGGUAAUGAUUGCCAUAUGAUAGAAUACACAUUUAACUUCAAUAAAAUUAGUAACACUUAUAUUUUUACCAUUUAGAAAGACGUUAUUCUGAAUCGGGGAGCGUUUUGAGCAGAAAGGUGAUGACAAUAAUUGUUUUGGUGAGGGUUAUUACAGGCUUACAGUGAUAAAUAGGACCUACUGUCAAGCUUCACUGUACAUUCCCUCUCAUCCAAAAUGAGAAUAUUUUCAACUUGUCCUGACCUGUUGGACAGCCCUCUUAUGGUUUAGCUGCCCCAAAUUACAGAACAUGAGGUCAGACAUGGAGCUAGUAGUGGGGUCAUACAAUACCAGAGGACUUUGCUUUUAUAAGGAUGGGCGUAUUGUCACGGCAUGUUUCCAAUAACCGUAAGUGAUGAUAAGGGGCCUUCUCACCCCUCUCAGGGGUUGAUCCAUUUUUGCUGUUUUAUUUUUUUCCUCUCCCUUCUCUUUCUGUGACAUUUUCCAACACUGUUUUCUCCCCCCUACUUCCCCUGCAUUGAUUUUGAACCCAGACCCAUUUCACUCUAAGGCACUCAAAGUGUACAAUGUCUGGACCAGAUUAUUGGCUCAUUUCCUUAAAUGUAAACUGCUGGUAUAGUUCUUAAUACUUGUGAAUAGUACUGAACUAUUUUUUUUUAUUAUUUUUCAUUUAACACACAAGCAUUGUACAUUCAGAAGAUGCAUUCUAUUAUCUUGGUCUUUGUUCUCUUUAUAUGAUAUUAUAACGAACCUUACAUCUUUGUAUCUCAGUAUCACUGACUUUAAAAAAACCCUAUAAUUUCCCUAUAAAGUCCACAUAUACUGAACGUUAAUUAUAAAAAGAAGAGGAGCUACGACCCUGGCCAACGGACAUCCAAACAUGUGUGCAUGUACAUGUAGAAAUACAAUUAAAAAUUCAAAGGAAAAGUCCUAUUAAACAGAUUCUGCAUGUAUCAUAGUAUUAAAUUAUAAUUUUUCUUUGCAAAUUGAUAUUUUCAUACAGUUGACAGUCUCACGAUCUAGGUAAAAAGAUGACAUGUCUUGAAUUAAUAACUAUUUCAGUGUUCGGAUACAGAAAAGCCAGACUUACACCUGCGAGUCAAUAACUGUUUACAAGAGUGUCCGCUCCCUUGUUCUUUGGUAAUGUUCGUGGAUGAUUUUUAAACUGCUUUAUCUGGCACAGGUUCACUUUGACCCUCUAUGGGCUUUCUGACCCCCUCUUAAACCUAAAAAUGGGACACAUCCUGCCUGUCUGGCUUUUAUGAAGCUUUAACUCCCACACUUUCUGUGGUCUCUCUGUCCACACUUCACUUUAAGCUUGCACUCAGUCAUCUCCGUAGUCUGUCAUGUGCUUCCAUGGGUUUCUGUCACAGUGUUUUAUAAGACCUUCCAGCAUGAAUUCCAGUUAAGUUACAUCAUGGGGAGAAUUGUAUAUAGGUCUAAUAUUUACGCAACAUGGACCCUGUUUCCUUGUUUUUGUCACUUGAGGUUGAACCAUCUGAUGAAAUGUGAAUGAGGGCGAUGUUAUGGCUACAAAGAAGCAGAUAGACAACUGAGAUAAACGUCAUAAAAUUGGAAGCAAAGCACAAGGAACCAGCCACAGAGGGUGUUUAGAGCCCAGUGUUUGAUGCCUGGCCUGUGGGCACACCACUUACCCUUCUAGCCUGGAGCAUGUCUGGCUUUCCGUCUGGCUUUUACAGGAGAGUAGACAGAUUACUUGCAAGGGUUGAGACGGUUCAGUGAGCUAAAGGUACUAGGUGACAUGGCUGCAUGGGGGGAGAACCAUAUCCUUUUACAGUCUGGAAAUAAAGCAAACCAGCAGAAGUGGAAUGAUCCCACAUCUGUCAUCUUGUUGGGUCUGUAAGAUGAUGAGCAGUGCUUUCUGUAGAGGGACAGUAGCGGGCUGUGACAGGAGUGUUUCAUACCCCAGAUAUCAUGUUAUUAAUAUUCAGCUGCAUUGACUGGCAUUGUUUAAUCAUUCAAAGGUUCUGAAGUCAUUUAAGUUUAAAGUCAUUUAACGUUUUAAUUUAAACAAGAGAGCAGUCUGUCCUCUUACUUUGGGAUAAUUUACUAUACUUUGGGAUAAUUUUACCACCUGUCUUUAGGAAGAGUAACCUCAGAGUCACAGUAAUGUAUUUAUGAAGCAAUAUUCAGCUGCAGGUCAGCUUAGCUGUGCUCAAAGAUGAGAUAGAACCAGCCUGUCUCAGUCUAUCAGGGUCUCACUAAAUACAUAGUGCUUCCCUCAGCUCGAGGAUGUAACCUAUUGACAGCCUUAUGCCAUUAGCAAAGAUUUUUGCUUCUUAAACUUCUAGUGCUGCUUCAGUGCUAACAACACUCUCCCGGAGAUUUCGAAUUGACUAAUUUCUCUCUGUUUUUAUUGUUAAACUUAUCACCCUCUGUAAAUCUUGGCUGUGAAAAAUAUAACCAAAGCCCUCUGUGCCGAUAAAGCAUGCUAUAUUUCUGACACCUAGCCCUUGGCAAAGGUUUUAGGCAUGAAAAAUAACCAAAUUGAAACAAAUAUUUUUUUCUGAUGAUGAUUUUUUUUCUUUUUCUUUUUAUCUCCAAGUAGUCCAUCAGUCUGAAUUUCAGUCUGUUUUAUAACAAACUCAAACUCCCAACAAAAGCUUUAUCCAAAAUCCACUUUGGUCAGGGAUUUUGAAUAUAAUCCACUUGGUCAGAUCUUCUUAAACAGCUAAAUUUUGUCCUUGAUACACCAUCAGUGCUGCUCGUGCUUGGAAAGGUCUUUGACUCUACAGGGGACACAAAUAGUUGUCUCCUGAAUGAAUGUCAUCUCACAGAGUUUUCAAAAGUGUGAACUAUUGCAAACACAUUUGGGGGUUAUAUAUGAAUUUGAGGUAAAACUUACAGAGUAACUGAUUCUCUAUAUUGUUGAUUUACUCUGUACUAUAACUAGCUGGAAAAAAGUCAAUUUCAGGGUUAGUGCGUUCACACUACGUCACCUGGUAUCCGUUGUCACGCCCUGGACUGUUUUAUAGCCAGGUACUGUGACCUCCUGAAGUCCUGUGACCUUAGGAAGAGGACUUGACACCUGGAAGUGUCUGUGUUUUACAAACAUGUACUACUUAAAAGACAUAAUGUGUUAGUUUACAAGAUAAAGAAGUGCUUUCAGGUGAUUUUUCAUUUUCAUUCAGAGUCAGACCAAUUUUUCUAGUCUGCUACACUUACUCGAAAAGCUGCUCCCUUUGGAUUGAGAUUUACUUACUCAUUUAUCCUCUGAUCUAUAUCUUCUUGAGAAAGUGGCUGCGUACUUUCCAGGGUAUCAUAUCUUUGUUUCUAUGAUACAGCUCAGUAGAUAUCAAGUUAUGGUACAACAACAAACAGCUGCAGUAAAAGGGGAACAAAGGAAUUUGUCCAUAAUGAGCAUUUUCUUUCAUCCAGCCAGGGGAAUACACAACAGACGGGCCAAGAUUAGACAUCCUUCCUGGAGCAUUUUUCAUGGUGACUCCUGGGAUUUAAGGAGCGAAAAACAUCCAAGGGAUGUACAAGGAAACAGCUCAAGGUGCAUCGCCCCUUGGCCCCCCAGAUCAUCUGGAGACAUCCAAAAUAACCCAUGCAAAUCUUAAACACACAGACAUGAACCUUUUCGCCUUCAAACGGAGGAGGCCAUCACUGUGACGAGAGUGGCAGUAUUCCAGGAAUGUCCUGAUCCGUCAAGGCCGGGACGCCUCAGGGAAGAGACUGAGAAUGCCCCCCCCACCCCCACCCCCCAACUUUUCUUUAACAUUUACACGCACAUAUGUGAGGAUGAUUCAUAUGACAGGCCUUAUUCACAGUGAGAGAUGAUUACUCUUGACCUCGUGUAAUCACUGGUAUGAUGUAUAUUCUCACUUACAGAAUUCCCUUUUCAUCUUCACUCAUCAUCUUGUCACGUCUUUGUCCUGUUUUUUUCUCAGGUUUGAAAUCUUGUACAUUUUGCCACUGGCAAAGCUACCUUUAAUAUCAUAUGUCCAUUUUUUAAAAUCUUGCUAGUC